CCUACGGGAGGCUGCAGUGGGGGAUAUUGCACAAUGGGGGGAACCCUGAUGCAGCGACGCCGCGUGGGUGAAGAAGCGCCUCGGCGCGUAAAGCCCUGUCAGCAGGGAAGAAAAUGACGGUACCUGAAGAAGAAGCCCCGGCUAACUACGUGCCAGCAGCCGCGGGAAUACGUAGGGGGCAAGCGUUAUCCGGAUUUACUGGGUGUAAAGGGGGCGCAGACGGCGAUGCAAGCCAGGAGUGAAAGCCCGGGGCCCAACCCCGGGACUGCGCUUGGAACUGGGUGGCUGGAGUGCAGGAGGGGCAGGCGGAAUUCCUGGUGUAGCGGUGAAAUGCGUAGAUAUCAGGAGGAACACCGGUGGCGAAGGCGGCCUGCUGGACUGCAACUGACGUUGAGGCCCGAAAGCGUGGGGAGCAAACAGGAUUAGAUACCCGGGUAGUC
rnacentral:rRNA from 1 species